rnacentral:rRNA from 1 species
AGUGAACGCUGGCGGUAGGCCUAACACAUGCAAGUCGAACGGCAGCACAGUAAGAGCUUGCUCUUACGGGUGGCGAGUGGCGGACGGGUGAGGAAUACAUCGGAAUCUACUUUUACGUGGGGGAUAACGUAGGGAAACUUACGCUACUACCGCAUACGACCUACGGGUGAAAGCAGGGGAUCUUCGGACCUUGCGCGAUUGAAUGAGCCGAUGUCGGAUUAGCUAGUUGGCGGGGUAAAGGCCCACCAAGGCGACGAUCCGUAGCUGGUCUGAGAGGAUGAUCAGCCACACUGGAACUGAGACACGGUCCAGACUCCUACGGGAGGCAGCAGUGGGGAAUAUUGGACAAUGGGCGCAAGCCUGAUCCAGCCAUACCGCGUGGGUGAAGAAGGCCUUCGGGUUGUAAAGCCCUUUUGUUGGGAAAGAAAAGCAGCAGGUUAAUACCCCGCUGUUCUGACGGUACCCAAAGAAUAAGCACCGGCUAACUUCGUG